UACAGAGGAGCCAAGCGUUGUCCGGAUUGACUGGGCGUAAAGCGCACGCAGGCGGACGCGCGCGUGGGGUGUGAAAUCUGGCCGCUUAACGGCCAGGCGCCAUCCCAUACGGCGCGUCUGGAGUGAUGCAGAGGUCGAUGGAAUUGCCGGUGUAGUGGUGAAAUGCGUAGAGAUCGGCAGGAACACCCAGGGGGAAACCAGUCGACUGGGCAUCUACUGACGCUGAGGUGCGA
rnacentral:rRNA from 1 species